UAUUUUAUUAGAUGAAAAUAUUAUUUUUGUUUCGUUUUUUGUAGAUUGAACUGAUGGUUAAUAGUUGAUUGUGAUAUAUAAAUUACUGUCUUUCUGUAACUUCUUUCUAUCCCGGGACUGUCCCGGGAUCCCGGGAUUGACUUUAGAUAAUCCCGAAAUCCCGGGACUGGAAAAAUGAGCCGGGAUUGAAUCCUCUACUAGUGAUAUUAUAGGUGU